UACCUUACCUUACCUUACCUUACCUUACCUUACCUUACCUUACCUUACCUUACCUUACCUUACUUAACAUAAUCUAGACCUAACCUAACCCAACUAAAUCUAAACUUAACUAACUUGGCCCAUCUUAGCUUACCUUAACUUAAUAUAACUAAAGAACAUUAGAAAAUCUUUAGAUUAGGCUUGGUAGGUUGGAUUAGGUUGAGUUAGGUUAGGUGGGAGUUAACUUGGGCUAGGUUAGGUUAGGUUAAUGGUUAAAUCAGAUUUGUUCCCCGAUACUACACUCUCGCUAGGCUGUGUCCCACAUUUGUACCUGAGGUGUAAGGGUAAAUUGGUACCCUGGUGAGCAUAAGCUUGUCGUAAUCUGUACUCUCCUCAUUGCUGCUGUGACUUGUGGCCAGUGCUUGUAUUCUCAAAGGAUUGUAUGUUAAGAUAUUAUCGUAAAUGAGAACAUGGAGAGGUGGCUAACAGGCUUACUUAAGAUAUAUCAGAAAAUUAUGUCCAAAAUGGCGUCAGAAUUACAAUAAAACUUUUAGAACACAUGUCCACUUUAGUAGAUUCGUCCACUUAAGUAGAUAGGUCCACUUAUGUAGUUAUGUUUACUUAAGUAGAUAGGUCCACUGAGCAUCAUUCGGGGUACAAACUUAAUAUACAAGACUCCUGAAGCGACUGACAGCAGAUGUGCAUUUUGACUUCUCUUGAUGGUCAUUAUAAGACAAUUUAUUUUCAAUGUUGCAAAUAUUCACUUGAUGUAGAUUAAAGCUUUUGUAUCA